GUUGUGUAACUAAAUACUUCAGAAUGAACACAGUUUUUAACCUGAUAUUUUCAACGUUUUUACAAGAUUCAAUAUGUUUAAAACUGCUUUUUUGUCAAGCUAUCGCAACGAAUGCGUUUCAGUUAAAUACCCUGUAUACAUUUUUAACUGUUCGCAUCUAGCUCAAUAGUGCAAGUGCAAAAUGUAAAGCGUGCUUUCAUCUGUUUCUUUAACUCUAAUUAGCCCAUUGAACUAAGUGAGCUAUUAUCCUCAACUGUCGUCCGUAAACCUUAAAAAAAUACCAGGGCAAUUAUUGAUUUUUAUUCGCCUGUUUUUUUUUAUAUUUUGUCAUCUAAAGACUACCUUGCGAAAUGUUUUUGAAACUUCAGAGUGUAAACGAGAACAAAUUCAUCCCACGCUACAUUUUUCAAAAGUUGUGUACUUGUAAAAUGUAGGGGUAUGUUUGGCAGUUGAAUAAUUCAGGCUCCAAGAGUCUCUUGUUUCUAUAUACAAAAAAUAUUCUCGCUAAUUUCCUAAUAUAUGUAUAAGUUAGAAUUUGCUUUUUUCGGAAUGCAAAACAUUUUUAGUAUUAUUUUCGAAAGCAUACACCUGACGUUAUGAUUGGUCAAUGCCGUAAAAAACUUAUGAAUAUUCA
rnacentral:lncRNA from 1 species